AAGGCAUGCUUACAGCUAGCCUAAUCAUCUUAAAACUCCAAAUAUUAUCUCAUGACAGAUGGCUGCUGGAGUCUACAAAGGGCUACUCCAAAUUCUCUUCCCCAUUCCAUAAAGACCACCCCUAUUGAGGACAUUUCCAUCCAAAUGCAUUAUUAUAUAUCCUGUCUUGAAACAGAAGAUUUCAUUUCCUUGCCGCUAUUUGGUGAGUCUUGUGCUGGAAAAGGGCCUAUCACCUACCUUCCUCUGGACCAGCUUUUGCAGAUGAAUUACUCUCUACCAUGGUCUUAGAAGGAGCAGUCAAGAAUGCCUCCCUUCCUUACCAUGCUGGCCUGGACUUUCAUCUAUCACCAAUAAUGAGAGUGGAAUGGAUAACAAAACAGAACAUAAAGAUGUCAGAGAUGUGUCCACCACAUGAAAGUGAUAUCAUUCUUUUCAUAUUAACAUGGCCUUUACUAACAGGACUUCCAGAUGUGC
rnacentral:lncRNA from 1 species